UGCAGUGAUUUUAAGUGGCAGCAGACGAUACCAAUAAUGUGAUUUCGACCUACUGGAGGAAGUGGCUGAGCUAGCUAUUUUCCAGGAGCUACAACCAGCUGUCAGCUCUGACGUGGAAGAGAGGAGAGCGUGAGGAAAGGGCCAAGCAAAAACAACAGCAACAGCCACGAUGACGGGGAGGACGACAAACCGCCGUAUCCGGGAACUCACUCGACUCAACUCAACCAGCAAGGACUCGGCAUCAGUCAGAGCCCGGUUGCAUUUCACAAAAGAAAAUGAGUUGGAAAAAAAAGUAAUUAAAAAAACAGCAGCAGCAGUGGCAGUGCAAAAAAUCCGUAAGAUACGGAAAUUUCACUCCGGUUAAGACGAAAUCAAGAUGAGCUACCAAAUAAUAAUAGCGAAUUUGACUGCUCUUCGAAAGCUGCUGCUAAAGUUGCGAAGUUAUCCUGUCGGAUUCCUGGAUUUCAGAGGAUGUCAGAGGACUUGAGGCUGAGAAUAAUUAAAAUGCAUUAACACAACGCAACAAUGUGGGCAAAUGUUAACAUUGAGCGCUAAUUUUCCACAUGCUGCUGCAACUGGAAAAUGUGCAGGCUUUUCCGGAGCAGGGAAAACGGCUGGGGGAAAUGCGAGUGGCAAGUGAGAGACAGAUGACAAUGGAAAUUGCAUCAG